AACGAAAGCUUAUUGCGGUCAUUAUACGACCGCGCGGGGAGCCUCGAUGCAUAUUUCCCAACCCGGAUCGGCGAUUAUCGUCACAAUAAUGUCGUUACGAUAUAGCAGUACGGUGUUAUAUUUUCUUGAAAAAGUCCUGUACGUAUGUCAGACAAUUUAACGCACAAUAUAUCACGUCCGUUAAUCGAUAAAUUUAAUAUAUCCGUUUAUAAGUAUCUGCGCGCAGGGGCAAUAAUUGUAUACAAAUGCAAUACGACUCGUAUGUUGCGAUACCGCUAUAUCGUACCCGUAUCACGGGGGUGGGUACGCUUACACGAUGUAAAAUACGCAAUAAACGUACGUUGUACAAGACGUAUUGAUAUCCGGCGCAUGUUAUUGGCCAUUUAUCAUUUACCGAUCGGCGGAUUAAAGUCGUCCACAUCCUAUACCGAGGGGAUAUAAUAAAUGCGCAGAGGUAAACGAGAGACGCGAAAUCGGCCCACACUGUGUCACGCCGCCGUGUUUGUGGCGGCAAAAACAGCAGCGGAAUUAUCGGCGCGGUUAUAAUAUAUCGAUGGACAUGGACCGACAAACGGUUUUUGUUUUUUAUCUGCCGGUACAUGAAUUAUGCCUG